GCAGUAAAUCUCUUCUCAUAAGGAUCCAUCUAGGUGCUAUGAUCAAAUUAGCAAAGUAUAUAGGAAGUAAACUCAAAUACUUCAGCUGAGAAAAAUUUUGUGUCCUCUGCUAAUGAGAUUGAAGGAUUAUUCAUGUAGCUAUUGGCCUCCCUGUUCCCUGCAGCAUAGCAAUAUUAAAAUUAGGCCAAUGAAAAAACCUACAAUGACCUCUAAGUGGUUCAAGUCAAAGAAAGAGGUGCAUGCCUCUUUUCCUUUAAAUCAAAUCAAAAGCAGAACAGGAUUGAGCUUAGUGAGGAAGGCAUAUUGAAAGCCAAGAUGGGCCAAAAGCUAGGUUGCUUGUGCCAAAGAAUUAGCCAAGUUGUGAAUGCAAAGGAGAAAAGUUCUUGAAGGAAAUUAAAAGUGCUACUCCAGUGAACACAUGAAUGAUAAGAAAGCAAAACAGACUUCUUGAUGAUAUGAAGAAAAUUUGAGUGGGCUCGAUAGAAGAUCAAAGCAGCCACAACAUUCCCUUAAGCCAAAGCAUAAUCCAUAGCAGGACCCUAACUCUCUUCAAUUGCAAUGAAUGCUGAGAGAGGUGAGAAAGUUGCAGAAGAAAAGUUUGAAGCUAGCAGAGGUUGCUUCAUGAGGUUUUAAAAAGAAAGCUGUCUCUACAAUGUAAAAGUGGAAGGUGAAGCAGCAAGUGCUGAUGUAGAAGAUGCAGCAAGUUAUCCAGAAGACCUAGCUAACAUACUUGAUGAUGGUGGUUACACUAAACAAUAAAUUUUAAAUGGAGAUGAAACGUGUUAUGUUAGAAGAUACUAUUGAGAACUCUCAUAGCUAGACAAGAGAAGUCAAUGCCUAGCUUCACAGCUUCAAAGGACAGGCUGGCUCUCUUUGUUAGGGGUUAAUGCAGCUGGUGACUUUAAGUUGAAGCCAGUGCUCAUUUACCAUUCCAAAAAUCCUAGGGCCCUUCCAAAUUAUGUUAAAUCUAAUCUGCCUGUGUUCCAUAAAUUCAACAACAAAGCCUGGAUGACAGCAUAUCUGUUCGUAGCAUGGUUUACAGAAUGUUGAAGCCCUCUGUUGAGUCCUACUGCUCAGAGAAGCAGAUCACUGUCAAUGUAUUACCGCUCUAAUGGAGGUGUACAAGGAGACCAAUGUUGCUUUCAUGCCUGCUAACACAAUAUACAUUCUGCAGCCCAUGGAUCAAGGAGUAAUUUUCACUUUCAAGUCUGAUUAUUUAAGAAAUACAUUUUAUAAGGCUAUGGCUGCCAUAGAGAAUGAGCCCUCUGAUGAAUGUGGGCGAAGUAAAUUGAAAGCCUUAUUGAAAGGAUUUACCAUCCUAGAUGCCAUUAAGAACAUUCAUGAUUCAUAGGCAGAAGGGCAAAAUAGCAACAUUAACAGGAGCUUGGAAGAGGUUGAUUCCAAUUCUCAUGGAUGACUUUGAGGAGUUAAGACUUCAGUGGAGGAAGUGACUGUAGAUGUGGUGGAACUAGCAAGAGAACUAAAACUAGAAGUAGAGCCUGAAGAUAAAUGACUAAUUUGCUCAAAUCUCAUGACAAAACUUUAAUGGUUGAGAAAGAAAGUGGUUUCUUGAGAUGGAAUCUCCCCUGGUGAAGAUACUGUGAAAACUGUGGAAAUAACAACAAAUGAUUUAGAAUAUUACAUACACUUGGUUGAUAAAGCAGUGGCAGAGUUUGAGAGGAUUGACUCCCAUUUUGAAAGCAGUUCUACUGUGGGUAAAAUGCUAUCAAGCGGCACUGCACGCUAGAGCAAUUUUUUGUGAAAGGAAGGGCCCAUGAUGUGGCAAAUCUAUUUGUUGUCUUAUUUUAAGUAAUUGUCACAAUUACCCCAACCUUCAGCAACCCCCCACCCUGAUCAGUCAGCGACCAUUAACAUGGAGGCAAGACCCUCCACCAGCGAAAAGAUUAUGACUCACUGAAGUCUCAGAUAACCAUUAGCAUUUUUAGCACUAACGCAUUUUAAAAUCAAGGCCUGUACAUUGUUUUCGUAAACAUAACGCUAUUGCAUACUUAAUGGACUACAGUAUAGUAUAAACGUACCUCUUAUAUGCACUGGGAAACCAAAAAAUUCGUAUGACUCACUUUGUUGCAAUAUUCACUUUAUUGGGGUAGUCUGAAAUUGACCCCACAAUCUCUCUGAGGUAUGCCUGUAAGUUUUGAUAAAUGUAGGCCCUCACAUAACCAACAGUAGUCGAGUUACAGGACAUUUUUCUCACCCUGAAAUUUCCUGCAUACAUCUUUCCAGUCAAUCUCCAUCUCCCUCAUAUGCAACUAUUGUUCUGAUUUUAGUCAUAGAUUAAUUUCACUUAUUCUUGAAUGUUUUAUAAACGGAAUAAUGUAGGUAUAUACUCUUUUGUGUCUGGAUUCUUUAGCUCAAGAAAAAAUUUUAACGAUUCAUCCAUAUUGUAGUCA
ensembl:lncRNA novel transcript, antisense to ARHGAP15